rnacentral:rRNA from 1 species
ACAUGCCUAUAACAUAGUGUUAAUGCAUCGGAUCCCAUUAAAACUCCCCAGUUAAGCACACUCAAGAUAGAGUAGUACUGGGAUGGGUGAUUUCCUGGGAAGUCCUAGUGUUUUACAUGCC